CCAUGUUUGGUGCAGUGGUUAGAACACUUGGCUGUGGAGCCAGAGGACCCUGGUUCAAUUCCCGCCACCAGAU